rnacentral:rRNA from 1 species
AGAGUUUGAUCCUGGCUCAGGAUGAACGCUGGCGGCGUGCCUAACACAUGCAAGUCGAGCGAUUCUCUUCGGAGAAGAGCGGCGGACGGGUGAGUAACGCGUGGGUAACCUGCCCUGUACACACGGAUAACAUACCGAAAGGUAUGCUAAUACGGGAUAACAUAAGAAAUUCGCAUGUUUUUCUUAUCAAAGCUCCGGCGGUACAGGAUGGACCCGCGUCUGAUUAGCUAGUUGGUGAGGUAACGGCUCACCAAGGCGACGAUCAGUAGCCGACCUGAGAGGGUGAUCGGCCACAUUGGAACUGAGACACGGUCCAAACUCCUACGGGAGGCAGCAGUGGGGAAUAUUGCACAAUGGGCGAAAGCCUGAUGCAGCAACGCCGCGUGAGCGAUGAAGGCCUUCGGGUCGUAAAGCUCUGUCCUCAAGGAAGAUAAUGACGGUACUUGAGGAGGAAGCCCCGGCUAACUACGUGCCAGCAGCCGCGGUAAUACGUAGGGGGCUAGCGUUAUCCGGAUUUACUGGGCGUAAAGGGUGCGUAGGCGGUCUUUUAAGUCAGGAGUGAAAGGCUACGGCUCAACCGUAGUAAGCUCUUGAAACUGGAGGACUUGAGUGCAGGAGAGGAGAGUGGAAUUCCUAGUGUAGCGGUGAAAUGCGUAGAUAUUAGGAGGAACACCAGUAGCGAAGGCGGCUCUCUGGACUGUAACUGACGCUGAGGCACGAAAGCGUGGGGAGCAAACAGGAUUAGAUACCCUGGUAGUCCACGCCGUAAACGAUGAGUACUAGCUGUCGGAGGUUACCCCCUUCGGUGGCGCAGCUAACGCAUUAAGUACUCCGCCUGGGGAGUACGCUCGCAAGAGUGAAACUCAAAGGAAUUGACGGGGAACCGCACAAGUAGCGGAGCAUGUGGUUUAAUUCGAAGCAACGCGAAGAACCUUACCUAAGCUUGACAUCCUUUUGACCGAUGC